ACGUCUGAUGAGCUCAAGGCAAGGAUAACGGAUGUCUGCCAUAGAAUUCCUACGUCGCUCAUCAAGAAAGCCACUGAAGAUAUGAUAAAAUGGCCGACAG
rnacentral:lncRNA from 1 species